rnacentral:rRNA from 1 species
CGGCGUGCCUAACACAUGCAAGUCGAGCGGAGACAUACGACGAAGCGGAAGUUUUCGGAUGGAAGCGGAGAUGUAUGUUUUAGCGGCGGACGGGUGAGUAACGCGUGAGCAACCUGUCCCUUACGUGGGGAUAACACAGCGAAAGUUGUACUAAUACCGCAUGAGACCACGGUGGGACAUCCCACAGGGGUCAAAGGAGUAAUCCGGUAAGGGGUGGGGCUCGCGUCCGAUUAGAUAGUUGGUGAGGUAACGGCCCACCAAGUCGACGAUCGGUAGCCGACCUGAGAGGGUGAUCGGCCACAUUGGGACUGAGACACGGCCCAAACUCC